CUUCUUAGAGGGACUAUCGAUUUUCAGUCGAUGGAAGUUUGAGGCAAUAACAGGUCUGUGAUGCCCUUAGAUGUUCUGGGCCGCACGCGCGCUACAAUGCUUGGUUCAACGAGUUUUUUCUUGGUCGAAAGGCCUGGAUAAUCUUCUGAAAUCCACACGUGCUGGGGCUUGCGGCUUGCAACUAGCCGCACCAACGAGGAAUUCCUAGUAGACGCAAGUCAUCAACUUGCAUCGAUUACGUCCCUGCCCUUUGUACACACCGCCCGUCGCUCCUACUGAUUGGAUGCUCCGGUGAAACGUCGGGAGAAUGCACCUGCGAUCAGCAAUGGUCCAGGUGCGUUUGAACUUCCUUAAAUUUGGGUUUCUAGAAGAAGGAGAAGUCGUAACAAGGUUUCCGU
rnacentral:rRNA from 1 species